rnacentral:rRNA from 1 species
UACGUAGGCAGCGAGCGUUGUUCGGAAUUACUGGGCGUAAAGAGUGUGUAGGCGGUGCUCUAAGUUCGGUGUGAAAUCUCCUGGCUCAACUGGGAGGGUGCGCCGGAAACUGGAGUGCUUGAGCGUGGGAGAGGAAAGCGGAAUUCCUGGUGUAGCGGUGAAAUGCGUAGAUAUCAGGAGGAACACCUGUGGCGAAAGCGGCUCACUGGACCACAACUGACGCUGAGGCGCGAAAGCUAGGGGAGCAAACAGG